UCCCCGUUGCCGGGGCAGUCUAUUCAGAAAAAUCCAACUGAAUACAAGGGUUGCGCUCGUUGAUGGACUUAACCAAACAUCUCACGACACGAGCUGACGACGGCCAUGCAACACCUGUCACUCGGCUCAAUAAAGCACUCUUUCCUUUCGGAAAGAUUCCGAGGAUGUCAAACCCUGGUAAGGUUCUUCGCUUACCUUCGAAUUAAAGAACACGCUCCACCGCUUGUGCGGGUCCCCGUCAAUUCCUUUAUGUUUUAGUCUUGCGACCGUACUCCACAGGCGGGAUGCUUAACGCGUUAGCUUCGCUACUACUCGGGUCGAUACGAAUAACAGCUAGCAUCCAUAGUUUACGGCGUGGACUAC
rnacentral:misc_RNA from 1 species